UACGAAGGGGGCUAGCGUUGUUCGGAAUUAUUGGGCGUAAAGGGCGCGUAGGCGGCCUGAUAAGUCAAAGGUGAAAUCCCUCGGCUCAACUGAGGAACUGCCUUUGGAACUGUUAGGCUUGAGGCCGGGAGGGGGUAGCGGAAUUCCCAGUGUAGCGGUGAAAUGCGUAGAUAUUGGGAGGAACACCGGUGGCGAAGGCGGCUACCUGGACCGGUUCUGACGCUGAGGCUCGAAAGCGUGGGGAGCAAACAGG
rnacentral:rRNA from 1 species